CAGAACAGGAAGGCAGCAGCAGUGAAGGCA
rnacentral:SRP_RNA from 1 species